UACGGAGGGUGCGAGCGUUGUCCGGAAUCACUGGGCGUAAAGGGCGCGUAGGCGGCGCGGGGAGUCAACGGUGAAAGCUCGGCGCUCAACGCCGAGUCGGCCGUCGAUACUCCCGUGCUCGAGCACUGUAGAGGCAGGUGGAAUUCCGGGUGUAGCGGUGGAAUGCGUAGAGAUCCGGAAGAACACCGGUGGCGAAGGCGGCUGACUGGACAUGUAUUGACGCUGAGGUGCGAAAGCGUGGGGAGCAAACAGG
rnacentral:rRNA from 1 species